rnacentral:rRNA from 1 species
GACGAACGCUGGCGGCGUGCUUUAUACAUGCAAGUCGAACGAUGAAGUUCCUUCGGGAAUGGAUUAGUGGCGAACGGGUGAGGAACACGUGAGAAACCUGCCUUUCAUUCUGGGAUAACACCGGGAAACCGGUGCUAAUACCGGAUACUCCGUCUUGGCGGCAUCGCCGAGCCGGGAAAAAAUUUUGAUGAAAGAUGGUCUCGCGGCCUAUCAGCUAGUUGGUGAGGUAAUGGCUCACCAAGGCGACGACGGGUAGCCGGCCUGAGAGGGCGACCGGCCACACUGGGACUGAGACACGGCCCAGACUCCUACGGGAGGCAGCAGUAGGGAAUAUUGGGCAAUGGGCGCAAGCCUGACCCAGCGACGCCGCGUGAGGGAUGAAGGUCUUCGGAUUGUAAACCUCUUUCAGUAGGGAAGAAGCGUAAGUGACGGUACCUAAAGAAGAAGCACCGGCUAACUAUGUGCCAGCAGCCGCCAUAA